rfam:Lepisosteus oculatus linkage group LG9, whole genome shotgun sequence.
GCCAGCAGCCAUAUCACCCUGCAGCCCCCUGAAGCUCAGCAGGAGGGAGCCUGGUCAAUACCUGGAUGGGAGACCUCUUGGGAAAGCUAAGGCUGCUGCUGGAA